rnacentral:SRP_RNA from 14 species
GAGGAGAUCGCCUCCACCCAGAGGCCGCGGGGCUUGAAGGGAGUGACGCCCUUCAGGGACUCCACGGUCAGCCUCUCAGAGCGACCUGCAGAACUCUUCGGAGUCCGGUUGGCAUCCAUCAGCGAGGUGGUCGUGGGCAGCCUCUCCGGAGAGAGGCAGGGCACCGCCUUUGGCG